GUGCUGAUGGGACUGUGAUGGGAAGGCAGUGGGCACCUCCUGCUGGGUCCUGGCUCUUCCCAUGAGCAUGCCUGAGGCAAGGCCCAUCUCCAGUGGGUCCUUAGUAAGCAUGAGCCAGAGUCUGGGGCUGAAGCUGAGGUUCAGCAGAUCUGGCCUCCCCAAGUCCUUGUUUCUCCCAUGAUUUGGCUUUCUCCUUAAAUCUUACCUGGUGCAAGGACACUGGACUAGCUGAUCUCUCUUCACUGCCUCAAUGCAGGAUUUAUGCUUCAGGGAUGCUCAGGGUCUCAGUCACGGCUCUGGCCAUGUAGAUGUCCAUGGUGCCCAGACAGAGGGGUGGAAUGUGGGCAGGUUACAAGCUGCAGGGCCCGAUGCCCCGGAUGUCCUCCCGUGUCUAUUAACUCUCCAUUAACAUGCGGCAGUGGCGUUGCUGCUAACAGUUUGAUUUAUGUCACUGAAGGUUUUGCUUACAAAUUAGAAGCUGCUAUUGUGCUAAGUCGGCUUUCAAAUCGAUGCAGAGCAAUUGCAGUACAUGGGUAGCUGGGCGACAUUAACAUGAGGAGUGUGCUAUCAUCGUCAUCCUUGGGACAGAUAUGACCAGCUACAGUGAAACUCCACUCCGGACCAAGCUAAUCUGAACAGAGCCCAAGGAUGCCAGCCUUGAAUGGAGACUGUCCGGGAUGCUCCUGUCAGGAGCGAGAUGGGGAGCCGUCAUAUUGCAGCUGUGUGGAGAUACAGAGCAAGGACCUUAUCUGCUCUGGGGUCUGUUCUGUCCUGGUUCCUGAGCUUUGGGUUUUCACGUAGAUUGUUGUAUUCAGGCGUUGGUCCCAUAUCGGCAGCUGCAAGAGCCACCAUGUAGUACUGUGGUAGCCAGCCAGCCAUACCUGUGUGUCUUCCCACCUUCUAUGCCUUCCACCCAAUUACAGUACCUAGCAAGAGGCCCGUUAGCACUGGAGGGUUGAUCCAGCAAGGCAGUGACAGCAGCCAUAGCUUGUUAGAAUGAGUAGCCUAGGGGCUGAUGGUCACCAGACUUCCUGAUGGCUCCCAGUCCUCUCCACACGUUGGAGUCACUUGGUAGAUUUCAGACAAAAUGUGGAUGCUGGGGCCCAGUCUUUCGAUCUUCUGGUUUAAUUGGGGUGCAUGCGAGAAAGCCAGGGAACUUACAAGCUCCCCAGGGACUUGCCUGUAGCCAGGUUUCAGCUGCCUGAUCUGUUCCUGUUCUGGUAGCUAAUGAUCUC
rnacentral:lncRNA from 1 species